rnacentral:rRNA from 1 species
GUCUACAGCCAUACCACCUUGAAUGGGCCUGAUCUCAGCAGCUAAGCAGAGGCAGGCCUGGUUAGCACUUGGAUGGAAGGACGAGAUCAGGUAAUGUGUGUG